rnacentral:rRNA from 1 species
AGCGAACGCUGGCGGCAGGCUUAACACAUGCAAGUCGAACGGACCCUUCGGGGUUAGUGGCGGACGGGGGAGUAACACGUGGGAACGUGCCUUUAGGUUCGGAACAACACAGGGAAACUUGUGCUAAUACCGAAUGAGCCCGUCGGGGGAAAGAUUUAUCGCCUUUAGAGCGGCCCGCGUCGGAUUAGCUAGUUGGUGGGGUAAAGGCUCACCAAGGCUACGAUCAGUAGCUGGUCUGAGAGGAUGGCCAGCCACAUUGGGACUGAGACACGGCCCAAACUCCUACGGGAGGCAGCAGUGGGGAAUCUUGCGCAAUGGGCGAAAGCCUGACGCAGCCAUGCCGCGUGGAUGAUGAAGGUCUUAGGAUUGUAAAAUCCUUUCAGCGGGGACGAUAAUGACGGUACCCGCAGAAGAAGCCCCGGCUAACUUCGUGCCAGCCGCCGCAGUAAAAC